UUUCAACAGCUUCCCUUGUGCCUGGGUGAGGUCUUGUGUGACCACCAUAAAGCAAUCACAGAUCUGGACCCUUCAUGAGUAUAUGAAGCUCUUCAGUAAUUCUUGAUUCUGCUUGUCUCCACUGUGUUUCCCUACUUCAGCCUGAGCCUUUAGGCACCCUUACUCACAAUACUCUGACAGAGGUGACUUCCUAAGCUUGCUUCCAGGCAGCUAAGAAACAAUAAUGCUUGUGGCUGGGCCAAAUGGUGUGUAGCUGUGAAUCUUAUAAAGCUGUGAUGCCCUUCCAGACUCCUCGUGCUGGCAGGGCAAUGCUGUUCUAGGUGUCUGUGCUGACAGACGGAUUCCUUCUGAGCCCAGUGUGCUUGGCCUUGGCAGAUCACUGCGUUGGAGCAGAGUCAAGACCCUGGGAGACGGACAGUCUGUUGGGUCAGGUUGCUCCCAUCUGGAGUGGCAGUACUUGGCCUGCCUCAGCAGUGGCUCUCCUCUCUGAUACCAGGAGUUCCUGUUUCUCACAUCUCCUUUCACAGAGUUUGGCACCUCUCUCUUUUGAAUGUUACAAAAUUCAGUAAUUCCACCAGGAGGUAAUGAAGGAAACAGCUUUGUCCUUGGAUUUUGAGACUACUUGGAUUCUUUUAAUCCCUUCAAGAUGAGGGCUGUAAGGAGACACUGGCUUUUGCGUUCAUUGCUAGAUACAGCAUCACUUGGUUGAAAUCACCUGGAGAGUAACCUAACAGUCUAGUGUGGCAGAGACAGACUCCUGAAGCUGGCGAAGAUGAUGCAGAAUAUCACGUGGUGUUUAUUGUAAAAGCUUUACAAUGUGACUUCUCCCAGAAUAUUCAAACAAGGCUCAGUUAGCACUGCAUGCUGUUGUUGAAAAGCUGAGUCAACUGAAAAACAGUUUGGCAAAACAUACUGCUUAUUGAAAACUGCUUUAUCUUAUGCAGUAUUACCAAUAUGAA